rnacentral:rRNA from 1 species
GUUGAACGCUGGCGGCAGGCCUAACACAUGCAAGUCGAACGGUAACAGGAAACAGCUUGCUGUUUCGCUGACGAGUGGCGGACGGGUGAGUAAUGUCUGGGAAACUGCCUGAUGGUGGGGGAUAACUACUGGAAACGGUAGCUAAUACCGCAUAACGUCGCAAGACCAAAGAGGGGGACCUUCGGGCCUCUUGCCAUCGGAUGUGCCCAGAUGGGAUUAGCUAGUAGGUGGGGUAACGGCUCACCUAGGCGACGAUCCCUAGCUGGUCUGAGAGGAUGACCAGCCACACUGGAACUGAGACACGGUCCAGACUCCUACGGGAGGCAGCAGUGGGGAAUAUUGCACAAUGGGCGCAAGCCUGAUGCAGCCAUGCCGCGUGUAUGAAGAAGGCCUUCGGGUUGUAAAGUACUUUCAGCGGGGAGGAAGGGAGUAAAGUUAAUACCUUUACUCAUUGACGUUACCCGCAGAAGAAGCACCGGCUAACUCCGUG